GUUACCAUAGCGACGUGCACGCAGCAGUCAGGCCUGACCCGCUGGUCCCCUGCUGGCCCGAGGAAAGAGGCGGCACCAUGAGCCACGCAGUAACCAUCGAGGAACCCCAGGCCCAGCCGCAGGUGUUUCAAACUCGGUACCGGGAGAGGUCGCGGGCUGGGAGCCACAUCUCCUCCAAUCGAGCGUAUGAUUUUCUGUACGAUCCAUUGUUUAUUGUGUCAAGUGAGAAAGACCACACACAGGCAAAUAUCCAAGCCACCCUGAUUCGCAGCAGACUGAGAAAAGUUCCCAGGUUUAAAACCAUGUUCAGUAACCUGAUCCAUUAUCCAAGAUAUUCUCUAUAUUGGAGCAAGUCAGAUCCUGUCCCACCAUUUAUCAGUCGGGAAUGGAAGGGCCAUGAGGAGAAACACAGAGAAGCCCUCCGGCAGCUCGCCACAACUGACACUUCUUUUCAGAUGCCUAGAGAAGUUUAUGAAGAUCCUGAAGUUACUGGAAAGAAUCGCUAUAAAUACUUUGAAAGGCCUUUUCUUCCAUUUUUUCAGCAGAUGCCAUUCAAUGUUGUUUAUGCCGUAUCCAAGGCAGAACCAUACACUUUUCCUCCUACUUCUACUAAGCACCUAUCCAUCCCUUCAAAGUCUACUGUGGGCACUCAGACUGAUUAUCGGGAUGCUGACGUUCAAACAGAUCCAUACUCUCCAGAAUAUGUAGUAUGUCAGGACUCAAUCCCUGAGCUCUUGACCCUGGCUACGCUUACUUGGGGUCGGGGUCUGCCAGCAGGACAAGCUGAGGUGGAGAUGAUAGAAAGAGCCCGCGAGAAGCGUGCUUGGGAAGCCACUCUCCCUGCUCUGAGUGACACUUCCCAGUUUGAGAAGAGGAGGAAGAUGAUGAAUGAAAUGGAGAGGAAGGAGUGGGCCUUCAGAGAGCAGGAGAUUGAAAAACUGCAGGAGAUUCGCCUGGAAGUUCUAAAAGAGCUGUUGAGGAAGCGUGAAGAGAAUCAGAAUGAAGUGAAUAUGAAGCACUUGAAUGCCCGGUGGUCUAAACUGCAGGAGGCAAAAGAGGCAAAAAUGGCAAAAAUUCAGCGCACACAUGUAUCAACAAUCAGAAAACUUGUAGGAAAGAGAAAGAAUAUAGAAGGGAAGUUGGAGAGAAGAAAUAUCAUCAAGGAUUAUUCUGAUUAUGCAUCACAGGUCUAUGGACCUCUGUCUCGUCUUGGGUGUUUCCCAGACAACAACUCAGAGGACUUUGUAGUAAAAAACUACUAUCUCAACACCUAUGAAGGAUUAGUGGAACUUGAGUCAUGUCUCCCAGAUUUUGUGACACAACCCCGAAUCAGAGCUCCAAAACCUAAAGUCGUUACCACCAAAGCUGGUUUUCUGAAGAGGGCAGCAAGGUUGGAUUAUGAGUUGGCAGAGGUUCAUAAGGCACUAUUGGAUAAGAAGAAUAAAGUUCUUGAAGCAAAGAAACCCCCUCGCUUCCUUCAAAGAAACCCAAUACCUCAACCUCGGCUUCCAACUCCAACCUUGGAAAUGACGUCCAAUGAAGAAGAAGAAAUAGAAAUGGCUGUGAUCUACCUUCAAAAGUUACUCCGGGGCAGAGUCGUUCAGAACAUGAUGUUUGAAGGGAAAGAAAAGCGACUGGAGUUGAUCCAGGAGUUGCGCACCUGCCACGCGCUACAAGAAGAUGAAAAGCUGGUGAAAAAAGCCGAGAAGCAAGUGACCCUGGCCUUACAGCGGCAGAGGAACUUGCAUGAGCACAAGGUUUUCCUUUUUUGUUUUCUUGUUACUUUCUUGUUAAAUUUUCUCCCUUGAUUUUAUCAUCACACAGCAACAUUAUAAUAAAAAUUAAUGAAAUUAUGAAAAAGAAA
rnacentral:sRNA from 1 species